rnacentral:rRNA from 1 species
GACGAACGCUGGCGGCGUGCCUAAUACAUGCAAGUAGAACGCACAGUUUAUACCGUAGCUUGCUACACCAUAGACUGUGAGUUGCGAACGGGUGAGUAACGCGUAGGUAACCUGCCUGGUAGCGGGGGAUAACUAUUGGAAACGAUAGCUAAUACCGCAUAAUAUUGAUUAUUGCAUGAUAAUUGAUUGAAAGAUGCUAUUGCAUCACUACCAGAUGGACCUGCGUUGUAUUAGCUAGUAGGUGAGGUAACGGCUCACCUAGGCGACGAUACAUAGCCGACCUGAGAGGGUGAUCGGCCACACUGGGACUGAGACACGGCCCAGACUCCUACGGGAGGCAGCAGUAGGGAAUCUUCGGCAAUGGACGAAAGUCUGACCGAGCAACGCUGCGUGAGUGAAGAAGGGUUUCGGAUCGUAAAGCUCUGUUGUAAGAGAAGAACGGGUGUGAGAGUGGAAAGUUCACACUGUGACGGUAUCUUACCAGAAAGGGACGGCUAACUACGUG